GAAAUGCGAUACGUAGUGUGAAUUGCAGAAUUCCGUGAAUCAUCGAAUCUUUGAACGCAUAUUGCGCUCGAGACUUCGGUCGAGAGCAUGUCUGUCUCAGCGUCGGCUCACCCCUCGCCCCUCCCCUUUAUUUGCAAAGGAGAACGGGCGGACGUGGCCGUCUCGUUGCUGUUAAUUUUUAAUUAAUAUGCGGCGGGUCGGCUGAAGUGCAGGGCUCGCGGCGCGACUCUCUCAAAAGAGCGCCAGCAUGGUAGGUGGCUUCACGCUGCAUGCCGCUGUCGUUCGACUGCAGAGGGCUCAAAUGCCGCUCGGCCAUAAGCAGGAUUUUUUUCUGGCGCUUUCGGGCGAUAGAAAAUUCAAACCUUCGACCUGAGAUCAGACAAGACCACCCGCUGAACUU
rnacentral:misc_RNA from 1 species